rnacentral:rRNA from 1 species
UACGUAGGGGGCUAGCGUUGUCCGGAAUCAUUGGGCGUAAAGAGCGCGUAGGCGGCCUGAUAAGUCCGGUGUGAAAGUCACAGGCUCAACCUGUGAAUGCCGCUGGAAACUGUCUGGCUAGAGUCCGGAAGGGGCGAGUGGAAUUCCUGGUGUAGCGGUGAAAUGCGCAGAUAUCAGGAGGAACACCAAUGGAGAAGGCAGCUAGAUGGGACGGUACUGACGCUGAGGCGCGAAAGCGUGGGGAGCGAACAGG